CCUACGGGGAGCAGCAGUGGGGAAUAUUGGACAAUGGGCGAAAGCCUGAUCCAGCCAUGCCGCGUGUGUGAAGAAGGCCUUCGGGUUGUAAAGCACUUUCAGUGGGGAAGAAAGCCUUGGGGCUAAUACCCUCGAGGAAGGACAUCACCCACAGAAGAAGCACCGGCUAACUCCGUGCCAGCAGCCGCGGUAAUACGGAGGGUGCGAGCGUUAAUCGGAAUUACUGGGCGUAAAGCGCGCGUAGGCGGUCUGAUAAGCCGGUUGUGAAAGCCCCGGGCUCAACCUGGGAACGGCAUCCGGAACUGUCAGGCUAGAGUGCAGGAGAGGAAGGUAGAAUUCCCGGUGUAGCGGUGAAAUGCGUAGAGAUCGGGAGGAAUACCAGUGGCGAAGGCGGCCUUCUGGACUGACACUGACGCUGAGGUGCGAAAGCGUGGGUAGCAAACAGGAUUAGAUACCCCAGAGUC
rnacentral:rRNA from 1 species